rnacentral:sRNA from 1 species
AUCAUUUCUCAGCCUUUUGGCUAAGAUCAAGUGUGGUGGUGUACCAUAGGUCCAUCUCUCUCUCUCUCUCUCUCUCUCUCUCUCUCUUUAAUAUUUAUUUUUUAGUUUCUUAGGUGGACACAAUAUCUCUAUUUUAUUUUUAUGUGGUGCUGAGGAUUGAACCCAGUUCCCCAUGCAUGGUAGGCAAG